rnacentral:lncRNA from 1 species
GCGGUCUCCACACGCAGGACCGAGACUUCAGGCGGCGGUUGAAGCUUUCUGAAGGGUCCCUUUCAGCCUCUCUCCAGUCAGCUCCAGCGCCUCAUGCUCCCUGCUCACAACUCCGCUCGCAGCUCGGGGCGCUCUUCGCGAGCUCCAGGGUUCCUGCGAAUAGCCUGGCCACGUCGACCGCCGCAAGCUGCUUUUAGACCUUGCGGUUCCACUUCCUGUGUGUGAUUCAAGAGACAGAGGAGACCGUGGACGAGCGAGUGCCCAAGAUAAGAACCGCAG